rnacentral:tRNA from 1 species
GUUUUAAUAGUUUAAUAAAAACAAUGAUUUUGUAAAUCAUAAUUAGGGUAUACCUUUAAAACU